rnacentral:rRNA from 1 species
AAGUAAAAGUCGUAACAAGGUUUCCGUAGGUGAACCUGCGGAAGGAUCAUUAUCAUACAAUGGAGGUGCUGGGGUUGUCGCUGACUUUUGAAAGGGUCGUGCACACCUCGGUGCUCUCGCAUAUAAUCCAUCUCACCCCUUUUGUGCAUCACCGCGUGGGGACCCCUUUUGGCUAGUUCUGAGGGGGGUUUUCACGUUUUUACACAGACACCCUUUUAAUGCAAUGUGUAGAAUGUCUUACUUUUUGCGAUCACACGCAAUCAAUACAACUUUCAACAACGAUCCGUAUGUGAAUUGCAGAAUUCAGUGAAUCAUCGAAUCUUUGAACGCACCUUGCGCCCUUUGGCAUUCCGAGGGGCACACCCGUUUGAGUGUCGUGACAUCCUCAAAACCUUCUUGGUUUCUUGACCGGGAAGGCUUUUGGACUUUGGAGGCUUUUGCUGGCCUUCCUUUGUUGGAGCCAGCUCCUCUGAAAUGAAUUAGUGGGGUCUGCUUUGCCGAUCCUUGACGUGAUAAGAUGUUUUCUAUGUCUUGGGUUUCGCACUGUUCGAUCUGGAUCCUGCUUCUAACUGUCUCAUAGAAGACAAUGGUCAAGUGAUUGCCACUUGACCCACAAACCUUGACCUCAAAUCGGGUGAGACUACCCGCUGAACUUAAGCAUAUCAAUAAGCGGAGGAA